UGGUCGCCUCAUUUAUCAGAAUAACUACCUAAAACGGGAAUAGAUCAAGUAAUGAAGUCAAGAAACAAAGCAUCAACACAAUUCAAAUCGGAUUACCCGGUUUCUUCUCUGAGAUUGUGACAAGUACCUAAGCAAGUAGGCUAGGCUAGUGUAUUUUGUCAUCCAACUGGUAAUACUACAAUGCCAGUAGAAAAUAUAUGGGAAGAUAAUUUAAGUUGUCAUUCGCCAGACGAGGUGUUCGUACUUGUUUAAACCAGAAAAUUGUGUCAAAUUAUAAAGAACAGCGUUGGGUAGGCUAAAGGCUGCUAGCUAACAGCAGGUAGCUCGUAGCUAACAGCAGGUAGUUCGUAGCUAACAGCAGGUAGCUCGUAGCUAACAGCAGGUAUCUCGCUAGCUGGUAGCUAGCUAUUAAAUGGCACUCAUCUUUGCUCUGAUUAUGAAGAUGUUUUUUGUUUUCACCUUCCAGACGACAGCGUUGUGAACCCAUCCACUUCUGAAAAUUAAAUAACUAUCUGUGCUUUUGUAGGCUUUCAGUUUUUGAGAUGUGUAGGGGGAUGGAUUUUCUAUUAGAUAGAUGUAAAUAUCUCCACACUGGAGCUCUGGCAGGGACUUCGUCGAGGUUAAAGAAAUACAAAUGUCAGCGGGUGCAGUACAUGGAUUAAACAUUUUAUUUUUUUCUAAAUAUCUCUGUCUGGCUAUAGUGGUAUGGUCUGUGGUUGAUGGCGAUCGUAGUUGAGUAGGCGGCACUGCUCGAAGUUGUCCACUGUUUAACGCUGUUUCGCUGUUCUUUUUUGCCCGUCAGCUACCUAUUGUAGUCACGUGACUGAAAACUAUGAAUUUACCAACAUAAAGAACUCAAACCCCUGCUCGAGACAUUGCCAGUCAAGGAAGCGUACAUCUGCAAUAUAUCAAAAACACCACAAGAGGGAGCGACGGCCUACCACUGAACAGCGGGGAACAAAUCGCUCUGUGACGAAACAAGAGCUUGGAGAUAUUACUGCGGUACGCUGUCUUGCCUUGUCAACACAUUUCAAGUUUGGAACUAAACUGACUUAAUGAUGCUUCAUCUAAAUAUCGAUCUGUAUGUAACCAAAGUGAAGUAAGUAAAGUGAUAAAGGCUAUGGUUACGAAAUAAAAAGGGAAAUGAAAGCA
rnacentral:lncRNA from 1 species